CACAAAGCUCUCCGUGGCAGUUCUCCAAGUCUGCGAGCGUGGAAAGAAAACGUAAAACAAUUAUUCAAUGACAAAAAGCGUCAUUGCACAAAAGACAACAAGAAACUUUGCGGGGGCCAUGCUGCUUCCACGUUAGCAUUAGCAUGCUAAGUGCGCGAGCUUGGGGCUGCCCGACGCGCCCGAGCAGAGCUGUCAAAAAACACGGCUAACAAACUUAUAACUGGAAAAUAGUUUAAAAUUGCUAGAAUGUGGCAAUCAAGUGGGGGUAAUCGCGUCAAAUUGGCGAACUCGUCUCUGUGUGGGCCACAGUACAGCCUCUUCAUUUUUUUUGACAGUUACUUCGCUUUGACAGGAGAUAGCAAGUCAAUCACAGGCACUUUUAGGGACACUCACUUCCUGAUACUUUGGCCGCUUAAAAACAAAUAAACACGGCGUGGGGCUCCACAACUUACCGUCAACAGGACGCAAUUCAGCAGCACUGACGAAUGAAGACCAAGCCUGGCAAAGGAAGCUAUCCGGACUUGGUAUUUGGCGAACCAGUGUCGCCAUUGCUCUUCCUCCUUGUUGCUUUUGCCGUCCUUCCCCUCUCUCGCCUGCUUCGUACGCAGCAAGGGUAGGAACCAGCGUGUGACGUCAUCUUCGGAGGGUUCUGGUUGUGCAAGACGCAUGCAUUGUGCACAAGGUUGAAAAGAUCUCUCCAUAGUUGAAAAACUCCUUCAUAAAAAACAAGCAGGUAUGUAUUGGGUGGGAAAACCAUCCUGAGCUUUCUCUUCAUAUUAUGACCGCUAGAGGGCGACAAAGGUGAGUGAAAGCACUCAGAUGGAGUUAUAAUAAUGUGUGCAAAACAAAAAAAAACAAGAUUAAGGAAUUGUUAUGCGUCGAUAUAAUCAAGUUUGGCCUUUUUUGACGCAGGGAGUGGGGUGAAGUACCUUCAAGUGAAAUUAUUUGGACCCUGAACUUCUUUGGUCAUUGAAGCGUCACAUGGAUGGCCGCCGGAACCUGCUGCCUCCCGGGUCCUGGCUGGGUAGAGAUCUUCUGAGAGUGCCAGCGCGUCUCCUUGUACACGAACCAGGCGUUACCGGCCCACACAAACAUGUUGAGGUAGCCAAACACCUAUUUGCAGAGGAGAUGAUGAAACAUAGUAAAUUCUGUGAAUAUAUCAUGACAUAAAGAUGGACCUGCAGUAACAACACAGGUCAAAGAUCCUCUAUAUAACAGGGAUGCUCUGCUGUUUUGAAGGAUGAAGGACGCCAAGAAUGAACAAUAUUUGCAGUUUUUUCAUUCGGAACACAGCCGACAGAUGGAAAAAAAAAUGAAAUUAUGUGCUUUAUAUUUAAUACAGAGUGGAAUUCCUAUUGUGUCUGAUAGUGUUGCUGCCAGAUCUCCCUGUCCUUUCUCUAUUUGUUGUGCGGCGGUGUUCAAGAUUUUUUGUUCACUUGGGCUUGAGGCCAUAAAUUCUGUCACAUGACCAGGAAAAACAACAAAGUUGAGUAUAAUGUUCUCUGCAGACCUCCCUGUCCUUUCUGUGUUGUGUGAGGCAGCCUACAGUAAACAACUUUUUCAAAAUUAUAUUCUUUCAAUAUAUGUUUUAUAUUUAAUACUAUCCCUCUGUGUCUCUGUCGUGUGAGCUUGAGGCCGCAAAUCCUGCCUAGCAACAAGAUUCUGCACCGAUGUCACAUGACCGGGAAAGAGAAUCCAAAAGGUCUCACCACAGAGAUGUUGAGCGUCCGUAGGUUGGCGAACUCGGUGACCUCGCAGGUGAUGUUGUUCCCCUUGCAGAGUGCCACGGUGGCGCCAAUGCCCUCCGUGUCCGUGGCGUCCUUCAAGUUCUGAAGACCCUUGGCCCAGGCGGACGAACACACCAACCACAAGAAGACGACGGCGGCCGUGAUCACAAAGUCCUGGAUGAGCGUACAAAGAUGAAGGAUUCAUGCGGUGCUUUUGGCAGACGUAUGGAGACAAAAGACUGACCAGAAUGGGUCCAAAGUCAGAGUUCUUGUACACGUGCAUGUAGCCUAAAUACACCAAGAGGGCCGCCAUGCUGUACAGGAAGCAGACGAUGGCCACGCCCACGAAGAACUCCGCCGAGGAUGAGGAGUCCCCCGUCAUGUAUGUGGUGCUGACGGAGUGGUUGCAUAUGGUGGUGUUUCCUUCGAUGAGCGGCACCUGGCUUAACCUGGACAAAAACACCACAAUCAGAUGCCGUUUUCAAAGCCGUACGUCCAAAGUGUCUGCCUCACCUGAAAGGGUAGUGAAAGUUGGCGUUGAGUGUUUCGUUCCUGCCGUCGCCGCAGAAGAUAGACAGGAUAUUCCUGCCCGCAAAGCCUCCGCAGCUUCCAAAUGCAAAUAUGGCCGUCAGCUUUUUGGACCAUGGACAAGGAACAAAUGCAGAUUGUGAUGUAAUAAUAAUAACUCAUAUGUACAGAUUGAGUGACAUCAUGACCAUUCAGUGCCAUCACAUAAUCACCGACAUGUAGACCGCCCAAUGACUGUAUGACCAAUGACUAAAAUGCAGAUUGUGUUGCUACAAUAAUGGCUGGCGUGUAUACACGAAGUAACACCACUCCAUAUCAGUACUGUCACAAUGAUUGACAUGUAGACUGCCCAAUGACUGACUGACCAAUGACUAAAAUGCAGCUUGUGUUGCAACAGUAAUGGCUGGCAUGUAUACAUCGAGUCACACCACUCCCAAUCAGUACUAUCAAAAUGAUUGACAUGUAGACUGCCCAAUGACUGUAUGACCAAUGACUAAAAUACACCUUGUGUUGCAACAAUAAUGACUGGCGUGUAUACACGAAGUAACACCACUCCAUAUCAGUACUGUCACAAUGAUUGACAUGUAGACCGCCCAAUGACUGACUGACCAAUGACUAAAAUGCAGCUUGUGUUGCAACAGUAAUGGCUGGCAUGUAUACAUCGAGUCACACCACUCCCAAUCAGUACUAUCAAAAUGAUUGACAUGUAGACUGCCCAAUGACUGUAUGACCAACGACUAAAAUGCAGAUUGUGUUGCUACAGUAAUGGCUGGCAUGUAUACACUGAGUAACACCACUCCCAAUCAGUACCGCCACAAUGAUUGACAUGUAGACCGCCCAAUGACUGUAGGACCAAUGACUAAAAUGCAGCUUGUGUUGCAACAGUAAUGGCUGGCAUGUAUACAUCGAGUCACACCACUCCCAAUCAGUACUAUCAAAAUGAUUGACAUGUAGACUGCCCAAUGACUGUAUGACCAACGACUAAAAUGCAGAUUGUGUUGCUACAGUAAUGGCUGGCAUGUAUACACUGAGUAACACCACUCCCAAUCAGUACCGCCACAAUGAUUGACAUGUAGACCGCCCAAUGACUGUAGGACCAAUGACUAAAAUGCAGCUUGUGUUGCAACAGUAUUGGCUGGCAUGUAUACAUAUAUGUACACACACCACUCCCAAUCAGUACCGUCAAAAUGAUUGACAUGUAGACCGCCCAAUGACUAAAAUGCACCACUCCCAAUCUGUGCCGUCACAUACGAUGAGCGACAUGUAGACCGCCCAAUGACUGCAUGAUGAAUGAGUUUUCCAACACAUGUACAGUAUACAUUACAGUAUGCAUCUCAUAUUAACAUGUAGACUGACUAUAUGACCAAUGACUAAAAUACUGAUUGUGUUGCAACAGCAAUGACUGGCAUGUAUACAGUGAGUAAUAUCAGGCCCAAUCAGUGCAGUCACAUUUAAUGAUUGACAUAUAGACCGGCCAAUGACUGCAUGAACAGACUACAAUCCAGAUUGUACGACAAACGUAUAGUGACUGUCACAUACAAUGGACAUGUAGCUCACCCAGUGACUGUUUGACUAAAAUGCGUUGUGUUGCAACGGUAAUGUAGACCAGCCAACGACUGCAUGAACAAUGACUGUAAAGCCAGUCAAGGACAGCCAAGGAAGGCGGGACUUUUUCAUGUCGAAUUACGUUUUUUCCUCCCGCAAAAAGAGGAACGCCUGGCAAGAAAAGGUGCUAACUGUCCAACGGUUAUCCAAAGAGUGUACAAUUAGAUUGCUAAAUGUUUAUUAAAGGGAUGGAAAUGAGGGUAAAGUGUCUCCUGGAGCUGCAGAAUUCCUUGCAAGGGGAGGGGGGAUGGUAUGAUUUAGCACAGAGGGGACCAUGUGACCCUAAUACUCUCUCACACAAACUUCAUUCUUUCAGGCGCUGCAAAAAAAAAUUCUCACUGCAAGAAAUGACACAAUGCUGAUGCAAGUGUGCACUUUUAAGGGUGUGUUCUCUUAAAAGUGCUGACUAGUAGAGGGCAGCCCGGUUUUGGACCUCAAGAACCACAUGCAUGCUUUACACACACACACCUCAGAGCCUUCAAACAGAUGUUUCUCCACAUGCACUUCCUGUUUCCUUCGUUUUCCUUACACGCCGCAGAGCACAUGUGAGGUGGACAAACAUGGCGGCUGCCCAGUCUAUGAAUGAUGCCAGGAAUCCUCACUUCUUCCUGUUUACUUUG